AUUGAACGCUGGCGGCAUGCCUUACACAUGCAAGUCGAACGGCAGCAUGGGUGCUUGCACCUGAUGGCGAGUGGCGAACGGGUGAGUAAUGCAUCGGAACGUACCCGGAAGUGGGGGAUAACGUAGCGAAAGUUACGCUAAUACCGCAUAUUCUGUGAGCAGGAAAGCGGGGGAUCGCAAGACCUCGCGCUUCCGGAGCGGCCGAUGUCGGAUUAGCUAGUUGGCGGGUAAAGGCCCACCAAGGCAACGAUCCGUAGCGGGUCUGAGAGGAUGACCAGCCACACUGGGACUGAGACACGGCCCAGACUCCUACGGGAGGCAGCAGUGGGGAAUAUUGGACAAUGGGCGCAAGCCUGAUCCAGCAAUGCCGCGUGUGUGAAGAAGGCCUGCGGGUUGUAAAGCACUUUCAGUGGGGAAGAACGGGCCAAGGUUAAUACCCUGGCUUCUGACGUUACCCACAGAAGAAGCACCGGCUAACUCCGUGCC
rnacentral:rRNA from 1 species